UCAGGGAUACACUGCUCCAAUGACUCGAGUGACUCGAGCUAGGCGACCCGCGUUUCGUGGGAGCUUUUGACAGUUCAUCACCCGGUCGCCAUCUUUGAUUUUUCUAGCCCGGGUCAGGAAUCGUGACCCGACCAAAUAGUACGGGCUACGAAGUUAUAGCCCGAGUCACCCGGAAUCGGAGCGCUCCUAUUGUACCCCUAUGAAUA